ensembl:lncRNA novel transcript, antisense to SLC14A1 and SLC14A2
GAGUGCGGUGGGAUAACUCUGGAGGUGGAUGGUGCUCCCUUUAGUUUUCUGGCAAGAAGCUAGGGAGAAGGUGACUUGAGCUCCUCGUGUGUUUUGAUCACUCAACAAAGAAGACAAAAGGGCGUUUCAUAACCUGACAGUGGGAGAGCACAUUAAAAAGCCCCAGGUAGGGACCAUUGCUGGGGAACUUGUGUGGUCAUUUGGAGGUGAUGUUGGGCAUGGCGGAUGCAGGCUGCAGCAGCGUUGUGGGGAAGAAAAGGUUGUAGUGGCCCGUGGCUGCCAGGUACAAAGUCACAGUGAUAUUGAAGGGCAG